GUUCUAGGACGUUUAGAUGCUGGGGGAUUUUGAAGACUGUCAUCAGAUGGUAAUGGCCUCUCAUGUUCCUGUUCUGAGGAAGGAGGUACAGGAACUGUAUCUGUAUAUACUGAGGCUGGUGUAUCUGGCUUCAGUGGUAUCAAGUUUACUCUCCUUGGCGUCUUGCUCCAUGCUUGUAAAGUGUUGAGAGUAAUCCUCCUG
rnacentral:lncRNA from 1 species